rnacentral:rRNA from 1 species
UACAGAGGGUGCAAGCGUUGUUCGGAAUUAUUGGGCGUAAAGAGUUCGUAGGCGGUUUGUCGCGUCUGCCGUGAAAGUCCGGGGCUCAACUCCGGAUCUGCGGUGGGUACGGGCAGACUAGAGUGAUGUAGGGGAGACUGGAAUUCCUGGUGUAGCGGUGAAAUGCGCAGAUAUCAGGAGGAACACCGAUGGCGAAGGCAGGUCUCUGGGCAUUAACUGACGCUGAGGAGCGAAAGCAUGGGGAGCGAACAGG